GGCGNGCUAUACAUGCAAGUCGAGCGGACCGACGGGAGCUUGCUCCCUUAGGUCAGCGGCGGACGGGUGAGUAACACGUGGGUAACCUGCCUGUAAGACUGGGAUAACUCCGGGAAACCGGGGCUAAUACCGGAUGCUUGAUUGAACCGCAUGGUUCAAUCAUAAAAGGUGGCUUUUAGCUACCACUUGCAGAUGGACCCGCGGCGCAUUAGCUAGUUGGUGAGGUAACGGCUCACCAAGGCGACGAUGCGUAGCCGACCUGAGAGGGUGAUCGGCCACACUGGGACUGAGACACGGCCCAGACUCCUACGGGAGGCAGCAGUAGGGAAUCUUCCGCAAUGGACGAAAGUCUGACGGAGCAACGCCGCGUGAGUGAUGAAGGUUUUCGGAUCGUAAAACUCUGUUGUUAGGGAAGAACAAGUACCGUUCGAAUAGGGCGGCACCUUGACGGUACCUAACCAGAAAGCCACGGCUAACUACGUGCCAGCAGCCGCGGUAAUACGUAGGUGGCAAGCGUUGUCCGGAAUUAUUGGGCGUAAAGCGCGCGCAGGCGGUUUCUUAAGUCUGAUGUGAAAGCCCCCGGCUCAACCGGGGAGGGUCAUUGGAAACUGGGGAACUUGAGUGCAGAAGAGGAGAGUGGAAUUCCACGUGUAGCGGUGAAAUGCGUAGAGAUGUGGAGGAACACCAGUGGCGAAGGCGACUCUCUGGUCUGUAACUGACGCUGAGGCGCGAAAGCGUGGGGAGCGAACAGGAUUAGAUACCCUGGUAGUCCACGCCGUAAACGAUGAGUGCUAAGUGUUAGAGGGUUUCCGCCCUUUAGUGCUGCAGCAAACGCAUUAAGCACUCCGCCUGGGGAGUACGGUCGCAAGACUGAAACUCAAAGGAAUUGACGGGGGCCCGCACAAGCGGUGGAGCAUGUGGUUUAAUUCGAAGCAACGCGAAGAACCUUACCAGUCUUGACAUCCUCUGACACCCUAGAGAUAGGGCUUCCCCUUCGGGGCAGAGUGACAGUGGUGCAUG
rnacentral:rRNA from 1 species